AGUGAACGCUGUCGGUAGGCCUAACACAUGCAAGUCGAACGGCAGCACAGUAAGAGCUUGCUCUUACGGGUGGCGAGUGGCGGACGGGUGAGGAAUACAUCGGAAUCUACUUUUUCGUGGGGGAUAACGUAGGGAAACUUACGCUAAUACCGCAUACGACCUACGGGUGAAAGCAGGGGAUCUUCGGACCUUGCGCGAUUGAAUGAGCCGAUGUCGGAUUAGCUAGUUGGCGGGGUAAAGGCCCACCAAGGCGACGAUCCGUAGCUGGUCUGAGAGGAUGAUCAGCCACACUGGAACUGAGACACGGUCCAGACUCCUACGGGAGGCAGCAGUGGGGAAUAUUGGACAAAGGGCGCAAGCCUGAUCCAGCCAUACCGCGUGGGUGAAGAAGGCCUUCGGGUUGUAAAGCCCUUUUGUUGGGAAAGAAAAGCAGCAGGUUAAUACCCCGCUGUUCUGACGGUACCCAAAGAAUAAGCACCGGCUAACUUCGUG
rnacentral:rRNA from 1 species